AUGCUGCACCAGGAACAAUAUCACACUGGUUCGGAGGAGAGAGGGGGCGACACCAGCGGGGCAUAUGUUGUCGCCAUGCACCUACGUGCUCUGGCACGACACUCUGGUACAUUAUCUUUGAAGAAGGCCACUACCUCCUUGCCUGGAUUGAAGGUGCCACACCGUCACAAGAUGAGAUGGAUGCCGCGGAAGAUGGACACAUAG
rnacentral:rRNA from 1 species